GACGAACGCUGGCGGCGUGGAUUAGGCAUGCAAGUCGAACGGUAUCAUCCUUUCGGGGGUGAGAGAGUGGCGAACUGGUGAGUAACACGUAGGUUAUCUACCCUCAAGACGGGGACAACCCAGGGAAACUUGGGCUAAUACCGGAUGUGAGCAACUUUUAGUUGUUUGAAAGGUGGCGUAAGCUGUCGCUUGGGGAUGAGCCUGCGUCCUAUUAGUUAGUUGGUGAGGUAACGGCUCACCUAGGCAAUGAUAGGUAGGCGGCCUUAACGGGUGGUCGCCCACACUGGGAUUGAGAUACGGCCCAGACUCCUACGGGAGGCAGCAGUCGAGAAUAGUCUACAAUGGUCGGAAGACUGAUAGUGCGACGCCGCGUGAACGAUGAAAUCCCUUCGGGUGUAAAGUUCUUUUAUAUGUGAGCAGUGCUUCUUAUAUUAACAGUAUGGGGAGAGAGAUAUUAGCAUAUGAAUAAGACAAACGGCUAACUCCGUGCCAGCAGCCGCGGUAAAAAUA
rnacentral:rRNA from 1 species